rnacentral:lncRNA from 10 species
AGCCGUGGACCUUCGCGGAGAGUGUUACAGCUGUUAAAGGUGGCACGGACCCAAAAACAGCUCUACGGAAAGACCUGUGUGGCUAGGAACUAAGGCCUCCUGUCAAUAGUCCUGUGUAUGAGUCAUCUUGGAAGUAGAUUGCCCAGCUGCCGUCAAGCCUUCAGAAGACUGUGGUCCUCACUGACAUCUUGCCUGCAACCUCAUGAGAGUUCCUGAGCUAGACCACCCAGUUAAGUUACUGCUGGAUUCCUGACCACAGAAACUGUGAGCUGAUGUUACGCUUCAAUCUACUGUCUGCAUUCUUAACUCUGUCUCAGCAUCUGAUUCCCAGAGGACCUAACUGAUGGUGGUUCCAGGAAUGCUCAAAGAAAACAGGUGAAGAGAAUUCAUUGGUUUACAUAAUUUUAGUUGGAAGUGGACUGAGGGAAAAUGGCAGAUAGGAGGCAGGACUAACUUGCAGCUCCCACUUGGAUGGACAGAACAACAUAUGGAGACUCACAUAAUGAACUUUUGCUCCAAGAACUACCACAGAAAUAUGCCAGGAAAGCCGAGAGAAUCCACAGACCCUUUGAAGGAGGUGGAUUGCUGCUGCAGGCUCCGUGGGACAGCUGAGGAACUGAUUUCAUUGGUCUAGAAGCUCUGAGAUAGAGCAAGUCAAAAUCAUCUCUCUGCAUCUAGUGGCAUCCUGAACACAGAGAGGAGAGCUCUACUGUUUUGUGAACACAUCACAGCUGGGGGUCCUGUGCUUUUGCAUUCUUUCCAUGAGUCCAGUAUUACCUGAGCUCCACCCUCCACCCUGUUCUAUGGCCCUGGGCGUGACUUGCUCUUGCCCCUUGCCUUCUGUUUGGAUCCUGCCAAUGAGGACUCCUAGCAGGAGAUGGGGGCUCUCAUAUUUAACUGAAAGGCUCAGCUCCACGCAGCGUUUCUGUCUCCAGCCCACACAGCACGAUGAGAUAAAGACUAGAGGCUGCUCACUGCUGAGAGUGGACCAUCCAGCUCAUUUGGUCACAUAAUUUCCAGCCAGCCACCUUAUGGGCAAGAUUUUGGCUCACCUGUAAGCUAUUAGCUGGAAAAUACUGGCUUCAUGAAAUGGCUUGGAAGAUUUGGAGGCAACCUAAAUGUCCAUCAACAGAUGAAUGGAUAAAGAACAACAGGGUGACUAAAGUCAAUAAUAAUUUAAUUAUACAUUUAAAAAUAACUAAAAGAGUGUAAUUGGAUUGUUUGUAACACAAAAGAUAAAUGUUUGAGGGAAUGAAUACAUGAAGCGAUUAUUUGCAUGAUGUGAUUAUUUGCAUUGCAGGCCUGUAACAAAAUAUCUUAUGUACCCCAUAAAUAUACACACCUACUAUGUACCCACAAAAAUUAAAAAUUUUUAAAAAAUGACUUGGGAAGUUUGUCUCCUCUAUUUCCUGAAGAAGUUUGGGAAGGAUUGGUAUUAUUUCUUCUUUAAAUGUUUGGUAGAAUACAUCAGUGUAGCUAUUUGGCUGGAGUUUUACUUGUGGGACAGUUUUGAUGUAAGAAUUCAAUUUCUUUAACAGAUACAGAACUACUCUGGUUAUUCCUUCUUUUUGAGUGAGCUUUGAUAGUUUGUGGAUUAAAUGGCAAAUAUUCAUUUUCUUUGUCAGAUGUAUUGGCAUAAAGUUGCUUAUAUAACCCCUUAUUAUCCUUUAAAUAACUAUAUGAUCUGUAGUAAUGACUCCUCUUUCAUUCUUGAUAUUGGCAAUUUGUGUUUUUCUUAAUCAGUAAGACUGACUAGACGUUUAUCAGUUUUUAAAAUUGAUCUUAAGAAAGUGUCUGAUUUUGUUUUUUUCAAUUUCUACGUUUUUCUGUUUCAUUGAUUUCUGCUCUUAUCCUUAUUUACUUUAUUCUAAUUAUUUGGGUUAAAUUUACUCUUAUUUUCUAGUUGAUUUAGUUGGAGAUUUAAAUUACCUGAGACCUUCCUUCCUAAUACAGACAUUUAGUGCUAUAAAUUUUCUUCUAAGCACUGUUUUAUCUCUAUCCCCAAAAUUUUGUGAUGCUGUGUUUUCAUUUUCCUUCAUCUCAAAAUACAUAUAUAUAUUUUAGAUUUUUAGGUUCGUGAGUACAUGUGCACAUUUAUUAUAUAGGUAAAUUGCAUGUCACAAGGGUUUGGUGUACAGACUAUUUCAUCACCCAGGUGAUAAACCUGAUACGUAGUUUUUCAGUCCUCACCCUCCUCCCAUCCUCCAUCCUCAAGGAGGCCCCAAUGUCUAUUGCUCUCUUCUUUGUGCCCAUGUGUACUUAAUGGUUAGCUUCCAUUUAUAAGUGAGAACAUGUGGCAUUUGGUUUUCUGUUCUUGUGUUAGUUAGUUUAGGAUAAUGGUCUCCAGUUCCACCCAUGCUGCUGCAAAGGACAUGAUCUCUUUUAUGACAUGGUGUCCCUUGUAAUUUCUUUUUUAACACAAGCAGUUGUUGAGAAAAGUUUUAGUUGUUUUAAAAAUAUUGAGUUUUUAAAAGAUAUCUUUCUG